CUUGAUGACAAAUUGAACUACCCCAAGUUGAAUUGUUUUGUUUAUGUGUGUUGAUCUCUCUCUCUAUUUUCAUAUAGAUAUAAUGAAUUUUGUUUUGGUAACCUUGGUUGUUACUUUCCCUCUAAAUAAUCCAUCCAUUUAAUUUAUAUGCAUAUUAGCAUAACUAAGAUAUGACUAAUUUGGAACUCUAAAAAUAAAUAACCAAACCAAUCGGUGGAUAUAGGCUUAUGCUCUGUUUGGAUGUUUGCAUUGGGGGGAUUGCACAUUACAUUGGGUUGAAUGUCAAUAACUCAAGGUAUUGAUAUUGAAUUUGAAUGCCAAUAAUUUUGUUUGGAUGUUUAGAUAUUAAGAACCUGAACUUCAUAUUGAGGUUGAAUGUCAAAUGUUGUUUGAAACAUUUUAUUUAUAUCAUAAUCACUCUAUAAUCAUAGUCCACUCACAAAUCACAAUUUACAACACACACGCACACUUCUCUCUCAAGGCCUCCACACCUGCAGAGUCAAAAACAAACAUCCCCUUGUCCAAGGGUGUGCUUGGUUGGUGCCCACACUAGGAUUCUAAGCUAACCAUAUGAAUCAGUUGACUUUCAUUGUAAAAAUUUAUUUGUUUUGCUACUCUAUAGAAAUGUUCAAUAGUGUAGAGUGAAUUAAUCAUUGAGGUGAAUAGGGGCAUGUUGAUCCUUAAAAAACGAUAACUUAGAAGAAGCAUCAUUCAUUCCCAAAAUAUCAACUUGGUUUGCCAUUUUGGUCCUCAAAGUUCUGAAAUUAUAUGACAUGAUACUAAACACUGCAUGGUUGUUGUUUGUAGGAUUGCGUAUGCAGGCAGCAUGUUGGUGACUGGCUCUCCAACAGAAGAACGAUUCUUCUAUGGAGUGUGGCUGAGUCCCAACAACCAGGAAUGGAAAAGUGGCAAUGGAUAUUGCAGGCCUAGCAGGGUUAGGAUCGUUGCCAAUCCUCCAGACCGGAUAUACUCCUUGUAAAAGCCGGUAGGUGCACUUGGAAGAUCGAUCCGAGGGUAUGGCGAGACUAGGGUGAUCAUGUCAUGGAACCAUCAUUGGGCAGACCGUUUGAUUCUCAUGGUUACGACUUCUACAAAUUGUAUUUCUGGGAGCACAGUAGGAAGAGCACGCUGAACUUGCAAAGGACCAAACUGUUGUAUGGAUUGUGAGAUGUAAGCUUAUAUGUUUAGGCGAUAAAUUGGGCAUGUCACUAAAAUUAGUCGUCCAUGUAUCAACUAUGAUCAUUGAUCACUUAAUCUUAUAUGCUUGGCCCCUGGUAUGCUUCCUAGGGCUUCUGCACA